GCCGACACAGGACUGUUUUGUAAAAAGUUUAUAAGAAAACGUACAUUUGAAAAAUAUAUGCCCCUGUACUGAGGACGGCGAGUUCCCACGGAAUCUGGUAAAAGCUGUGAAUUUUAUUCAUUAUAUGGAUGUUGGUCACAAUGAGGAGAUGGCCAAAGUAAACAACGCUUCGGAUUACAUCCAGUCUUAUGAAUACUACUACGACUAUGUGGAUUUCGUUUCCUUUGAUGGAAAUGAGCUGAAAGCUAAUAAAUAUUCGAUCGUUAUUGCUUUUUGGGUUGGUCUAGCAGUUUUUGUGGCGUUUUUAUUCCUUAUUUUGCUGUACAUGUCCAGAACCUUCUCAGCACGAGCAAAUCAAUACAGGUACACAGCCAGAGCUAACUUGAGACAGACACAUGAAGUAGAAAACGGAGAUGAUUGAGAGGAUAGCGAUGAUGGAAACCAUCAGAGGCUCUCAAGGUUUUGGAGCCUUUUAGAGAAACACUGGAAAUUCAAGCUUUAAAACCCAUUAAUGUUUACAAGACAAAGGACGGCGUACAGAACAUCUCCCGGACGUCCCUCCGUCCCGACCACACUCCGAGGAAGAUAAGAGAAGAU